AACGAACGCUGGCGGCAUGCCUAACACAUGCAAGUCGAACGAGACCUUCGGGUCUAGUGGCGCACGGGUGCGUCACGCGUGGGAACCUGCCCUUAGGUUCGGAAUAACUCCCCGACAGGGGUGCUAAUACCGGAUAAUGUCUUCGGACCAAAGAUUUAUCGCAUUUGGAUGGGCCCGCGUUGGAUUAGCUUGUUGGUAGGGUAAAAGCCUACCAAGGCGACGAUCCAUAGCUGGUCUGAGAGGAUGCUCAGCCACACUGGGACUGAGACACGGCCCAGACUCCUACGCGAGGCAGCAGUGGGUAAUAUUGGACAAUGGGCGAAAGCCUGAUCCAGCAAUGCCGCGUGAGUGAUGAAGGCCUGAGGGUUGUAAAGCUCUUUUACCCGGGAUGAUAAUGACAGUACCGGGAGAAUAAGCUCCGGCUAACUCCGUG
rnacentral:rRNA from 1 species